UACGUAGGGCGCAAGCGUUGUCCGGAAUUAUUGGGCGUAAAGAGCUCGUAGGCGGCUUGUCACGUCGGGUGUGAAAGCCCGGGGCUUAACCCCGGGUCUGCAUUCGAUACGGGCUGGCUAGAGUGUGGUAGGGGAGAUCGGAAUUCCUGGUGUAGCGGUGAAAUGCGCAGAUAUCAGGAGGAACACCGGUGGCGAAGGCGGCUUUCUGGGCCCUACCUGACGCUGAGACGCGAAAGCGUGGGGAGCGAACCGG
rnacentral:rRNA from 1 species